AAUGAAUGUCUCAACUCAUCGUUGGUGUGUGGGCCGAAUGCUAACUGUUCCAAUUACAAUGGAAACUAUUCGUGCUCCUGUUGGGAAGGAUAUAACACUACAAAUAUGAAUGAGACUAUAAAUUACAGUAACCCAUGCAUAGAUAUAAAUGAAUGUCAAUUCAGUCCAUCUUUAUGUGGUCCAAAUUCCACCUGCACAAAUCAGUUGGGAAGUUACAAUUGCUCAUGUUUGGAUGGAUUCACUGCAACAAACUCAAGUCUCCCCAUCAGCAUCAAUAACAUCUGUACAGAUGUGAAUGAAUGUCUUAAGACAUCAGAGUUCUGUGGUCCAAACUCUCAUUGCACCAACUCAGUUGGGAGUUACAUCUGUUCUUGCUUGAGUGGAUUUACUGUAACAAAUAGCAGUGA